rnacentral:rRNA from 1 species
GGCGGCGUGCUUAACACAUGCAAGUCGAACGAACCUUCGGGUUAGUGGCGGACGGGUGAGUAACGCGUGGGAAUCUGCCCUCAGGAGGGGGAUAACGACUGGAAACGGCCGCUAAUACCCCAUAUGCCGAGAGGUGAAAUGAAUUUCGCCUGAGGAUGAGCCCGCGUCUGAUUAGCUAGUUGGUGGGGUAAAAGCCUACCAAGGCUACGAUCAGUAGCUGGUCUGAGAGGAUGAUCAGCCACACUGGGACUGAGACACGGCCCAGACUCCUACGGGAGGCAGCAGUGGGGAAUUUUCCGCAAUGGGCGAAAGCCUGACGGAGCAACGCCGCGUGAGGGAUGAAGGCCUCUGGGCUGUAAACCUCUUUUCUCAAGGAAGAAGAUCUGACGGUACUUGAGGAAUAAGCCACGGCUAAUUCCGUGCCAGNANCNNCGGUAAUNAAAA